rnacentral:tRNA from 1 species
AGUUAAUUAGCUUAUUAAGCGUUUAUUUUGAAAGUAAAAGAAAAGAGAGGUCUCUAUUAACUU